ACACACACACCGGGCGGCAGGAGGCGAUGGUAGUGGAGAUGUUGGGCGGUGGUCGCAGCCAGUACACCUUUGCUGGCAAGUUUGCAAGUGAGGACGUGAGGAGUCGUUACCGUCAUAGCUUGUGCCGCCAAAAGCAGGUGAUAUCACGAAGAGCAAGCAGAAGAAACCUUUGGAGUUGUUCGUAACUGCAAGAAGCACGCAUCGCCAGGCCUUUGUGUAUGAGGUGUGGCGGUGACUGAAGGAAUCAACUCUCAGGAACUCAGGAGGGGAUGAAGAUGGAAAGGGAAGGGC